AUUGAACGCUGGCGGCAGGCCUAACACAUGCAAGUCGAGCGGAUGAAGGGAGCUUGCUCCUGGAUUCAGCGGCGGACGGGUGAGUAAUGCCUAGGAAUCUGCCUGGUAGCGGGGGAUAACGUCCGGAAACGGGCGCUAAUACCGCAUACGUCCUGAGGGAGAAAGUGGGGGAUCUUCGGACCUCACGCUAUCAGAUGAGCCUAGGUCGGAUUAGCUAGUUGGUGGGGUAAAGGCCUACCAAGGCGACGAUCCGUCACUGGUCUGAGAGGAUGAUCAGUCACACUGGAACUGAGACACGGUCCAGACUCCUACGGGAGGCAGCAGUGGGGAAUAUUGGACAAUGGGCGAAAGCCUGAUCCAGCCAUGCCGCGUGUGUGAAGAAGGUCUUCGGAUUGUAAAGCACUUUAAGUUGGGAGGAAGGGCAGUAAGUUAAUACCUUGCUGUUUUGACGUUACCAACAGAAUAAGCACCGGCUAACUUCGUG
rnacentral:rRNA from 1 species